rnacentral:lncRNA from 1 species
GGAACAGGCUGGAGAAAGUGGCUCAAGGACCUGGUUACAGAAUUUUCUGGGGUUUAAAUACACUCUAGAGGUUUCCUGUUGGUUACUUGGUGUACACCCUAUGUAAAUGAAGUAGUGGCCCGCAAUCAGUCUGAUUGGUUGCAGGAGGGGAACAAUCAGAGACUGAAGCAAAGUUACAGUUACACCCUAUGCAAACGACUAAUUGGUUGCAGAAAGUGAUGAAUCAGAGGCUGAAGUGAAGUUACAAAGUUAUACUCCUAUGCAAAGGAAGACUUGGCCUGUGACCAGCCUGAUUGACUGCAGGAGGGGACCAGUCAGAGGUUCAUUCCAGUCUCUGAAGCAGUUCACGCUGUUGACUCUGGGCAGUAGCAUCUUUUCCUCACCUCGUAUUGCCAGUAACUGGAGCAAUAUGAGGUAGGGAGAAGAUGUCUCCAUGACCUGCUCCUUCAGAAGCUCUGUGCUUCAUCAAUAGUCAACUGAUAAACACUUUCCAGUGCCCAAAGCCAAAGGAUUGUGAUUGUUCUUUAUGUCACUUAUUUCUUUAUAGCUUUCCUUAUGUGGCUUAUUUUCCCCUCCAAUGCUGGAGGAUAAAGGAAUGAGGAAUUACAGUACUUUGGGAAACUUCAAAUGUUCAGAUCCAGCACUGAACUCUAUGAAUAAUUAUCUCCGUGUUGCAAGGUCCUCCAGUAGAAAGAGAAUGAAUAUUUCUGCCAGCUUUAGGGUAAUUUACUAAGGGAGAAAGAAGGCAAUUCCAACUUCCAUGAGCUGUGUCUUUGUACAACAUAAAAUAUCUAAGUCAUAAAUAAAAGUCUUAUAAAUGUUAAGACUAAUGAAAAAAUCAUGUAUCAAUAUGUUCAACACAUUUCUCUUGAUUGAAUAAGGCUUGGAGCAUAAUAUUUCUGUUUUAAAGAUUAUACCUAUACAUUUGUUCUUUCUUUGAUCUAUUUUAUGUCAAAUUUUUGUUCAAUAACAAAUCGUAAGAUUGUUCUUAUGAGAAAAUGUGAUAUUUUAUGAUGAUUCAUUUUAUUUUCUAUCCCUAGGCACUGUAUAGUAAAAAUUUGGAACCACA